UGUCUAGGGGUUCAAACCUAAAGAACCCAAAUAUCUAAACGGAGAAAUUCAAUACUGCUUUUCGGAGCGGUGUGCACUUUUCUCUUAGUAAGACGUUGUGAUCCAUUAGGAAACGAGUUUUCAUCUAAAAUUGAUUUCUCAAUAGGCUACCAAUAGGCGGGCGAUGAAGUUCACAUUGAAAAACAACACGAUCCUCUGGUUGGGUAUAUUUUCUUGUGAGCAUUGCCAUGUUCUGAUGUAGCUGCCUGAUGGUUUUUAAAGGCCACAUCACUAAUGCUUGCAUUACCCRUCUUCGGAYGGGUGUAAAGAUGUGUGCCCGAUCAACAACGGUUUCAUUUGGGAUACCUUUUGGACCCGUCUUGAAACACGGACCAAGGAGUCUAUCUAGUAUGCGAGUAAAUGAGCUUUAAAAACUUAUUUGCAUAAAUAACUUGACUGUAAUUUAAUGGGACUACGUGUACAUYUACUGCAAAGUGUGUGCACCUCCAUCCCGGAGUAUUUUCAUAACAUAUGCGUGCCUCGUGUGCGCAUAUAGAAAAUAUAUCAUGAGCAUACUGGACAUGACCCGAAAGAUGGUGAACUAUGCCUGAUCAGGUUGAAGUCAGGGGAAACCCUGAUGGAGGACCGAAGCAAUUCUGACGUGCAAAUCGAUUGUCAGAAUUGGGCAUAGGGCGCGAAAGACCAAUCG
rnacentral:rRNA from 1 species